GGGUUGUGAGGUUAAGCGACUAAGCGUACACGGUGGAUGCCCUGGCAGUCAGAGGCGAUGAAGGACGUGCUAAUCUGCGAUAAGCGUCGGUAAGGUGAUAUGAACCGUUAUAACCGGCGAUUUCCGAAUGGGGAAACCCAGUGUGAUUCGUCACACUAUCAUUAACUGAAUCCAUAGGUUAAUGAGGCGAACCGGGGGAACUGAAACAUCUAAGUACCCCGAGGAAAAGAAAUCAACCGAGAUUCCCCCAGUAGCGGCGAGCGAACGGGGAGCAGCCCAGAGCCUGAAUCAGUGUGUGUGUUAGUGGAAGCGUCUGGAAAGGCGCGCGAUACAGGGUGACAGCCCCGUACACAAAAAUGCACAUGCUGUGAGCUCGAUGAGUAGGGCGGGACACGUGGUAUCCUGUCUGAAUAUGGGGGGACCAUCCUCCAAGGCUAAAUACUCCUGACUGACCGAUAGUGAACCAGUACCGUGAGGGAAAGGCGAAAAGAACCCCGGCGAGGGGAGUGAAAAAGAACCUGAAACCGUGUACGUACAAGCAGUGGGAGCACGCUUAGGCGUGUGACUGCGUACCUUUUGUAUAAUGGGUCAGCGACUUAUAUUCUGUAGCAAGGUUAACCGAAUAGGGGAGCCGAAGGGAAACCGAGUCUUAACUGGGCGUUAAGUUGCAGGGUAUAGACCCGAAACCCGGUGAUCUAGCCAUGGGCAGGUUGAAGGUUGGGUAACACUAACUGGAGGACCGAACCGACUAAUGUUGAAAAAUUAGCGGAUGACUUGUGGCUGGGGGUGAAAGGCCAAUCAAACCGGGAGAUAGCUGGUUCUCCCCGAAAGCUAUUUAGGUAGCGCCUCGUGAAUUCAUCUCCGGGGGUAGAGCACUGUUUCGGCAAGGGGGUCAUCCCGACUUACCAACCCGAUGCAAACUGCGAAUACCGGAGAAUGUUAUCACGGGAGACACACGGCGGGUGCUAACGUCCGUCGUGAAGAGGGAAACAACCCAGACCGCCAGCUAAGGUCCCAAAGUCAUGGUUAAGUGGGAAACGAUGUGGGAAGGCCCAGACAGCCAGGAUGUUGGCUUAGAAGCAGCCAUCAUUUAAAGAAAGCGUAAUAGCUCACUGGUCGAGUCGGCCUGCGCGGAAGAUGUAACGGGGCUAAACCAUGCACCGAAGCUGCGGCAGCGACGCUUAUGCGUUGUUGGGUAGGGGAGCGUUCUGUAAGCCUGCGAAGGUGUGCUGUGAGGCAUGCUGGAGGUAUCAGAAGUGCGAAUGCUGACAUAAGUAACGAUAAAGCGGGUGAAAAGCCCGCUCGCCGGAAGACCAAGGGUUCCUGUCCAACGUUAAUCGGGGCAGGGUGAGUCGACCCCUAAGGCGAGGCCGAAAGGCGUAGUCGAUGGGAAACAGGUUAAUAUUCCUGUACUUGGUGUUACUGCGAAGGGGGGACGGAGAAGGCUAUGUUGGCCGGGCGACGGUUGUCCCGGUUUAAGCGUGUAGGCUGGUUUUCCAGGCAAAUCCGGAAAAUCAAGGCUGAGGCGUGAUGACGAGGCACUACGGUGCUGAAGCAACAAAUGCCCUGCUUCCAGGAAAAGCCUCUAAGCAUCAGGUAACAUCAAAUCGUACCCCAAACCGACACAGGUGGUCAGGUAGAGAAUACCAAGGCGCUUGAGAGAACUCGGGUGAAGGAACUAGGCAAAAUGGUGCCGUAACUUCGGGAGAAGGCACGCUGAUAUGUAGGUGAAGUCCCUCGCGGAUGGAGCUGAAAUCAGUCGAAGAUACCAGCUGGCUGCAACUGUUUAUUAAAAACACAGCACUGUGCAAACACGAAAGUGGACGUAUACGGUGUGACGCCUGCCCGGUGCCGGAAGGUUAAUUGAUGGGGUCAGCGCAAGCGAAGCUCUUGAUCGAAGCCCCGGUAAACGGCGGCCGUAACUAUAACGGUCCUAAGGUAGCGAAAUUCCUUGUCGGGUAAGUUCCGACCUGCACGAAUGGCGUAAUGAUGGCCAGGCUGUCUCCACCCGAGACUCAGUGAAAUUGAACUCGCUGUGAAGAUGCAGUGUACCCGCGGCAAGACGGAAAGACCCCGUGAACCUUUACUAUAGCUUGACACUGAACAUUGAGCCUUGAUGUGUAGGAUAGGUGGGAGGCUUUGAAGUGUGGACGCCAGUCUGCAUGGAGCCGACCUUGAAAUACCACCCUUUAAUGUUUGAUGUUCUAACGUUGACCCGUAAUCCGGGUUGCGGACAGUGUCUGGUGGGUAGUUUGACUGGGGCGGUCUCCUCCUAAAGAGUAACGGAGGAGCACGAAGGUUGGCUAAUCCUGGUCGGACAUCAGGAGGUUAGUGCAAUGGCAUAAGCCAGCUUGACUGCGAGCGUGACGGCGCGAGCAGGUGCGAAAGCAGGUCAUAGUGAUCCGGUGGUUCUGAAUGGAAGGGCCAUCGCUCAACGGAUAAAAGGUACUCCGGGGAUAACAGGCUGAUACCGCCCAAGAGUUCAUAUCGACGGCGGUGUUUGGCACCUCGAUGUCGGCUCAUCACAUCCUGGGGCUGAAGUAGGUCCCAAGGGUAUGGCUGUUCGCCAUUUAAAGUGGUACGCGAGCUGGGUUUAGAACGUCGUGAGACAGUUCGGUCCCUAUCUGCCGUGGGCGCUGGAGAAUUGAGGGGGGCUGCUCCUAGUACGAGAGGACCGGAGUGGACGCAUCACUGGUGUUCGGGUUGUCAUGCCAAUGGCACUGCCCGGUAGCUAAAUGCGGAAGAGAUAAGUGCUGAAAGCAUCUAAGCACGAAACUUGCCCCGAGAUGAGUUCUCCCUGACUCCUUGAGAGUCCUGAAGGAACGUUGAAGACGACGACGUUGAUAGGCCGGGUGUGUAAGCGCAGCGAUGCGUUGAGCUAACCGGUACUAAUGAACCGUGAGGCUUAACCUUACAACGCCGAAG
rnacentral:rRNA from 1 species